rnacentral:rRNA from 1 species
AUGAACGCUAGCGGCAGGCUUAACACAUGCAAGUCGAGGGGUAUUUAUCUUCGGAUAGAGAGACCGGCGCACGGGUGCGUAACGCGUAUGCAAUCUACCUUUUACAGAGGGAUAGCCCAGAGAAAUUUGGAUUAAUACCUCAUAGUAUAUAGACUCGGCAUCGAGAUUAUAUUAAAGUCACAACGGUAAAAGAUGAGCAUGCGUCCCAUUAGCUAGUUGGUAAGGUAACGGCUUACCAAGGCUACGAUGGGUAGGGGUCCUGAGAGGGAGAUCCCCCACACUGGUACUGAGACACGGACCAGACUCCUACGGGAGGCAGCAGUGAGGAAUAUUGGACAAUGGGCGCAAGCCUGAUCCAGCCAUGCCGCGUGCAGGAGGACGGUCCUAUGGAUUGUAAACUGCUUUUAUACGAGAAGAAACACUGCUACGUGUAGCAGCUUGACGGUAUCGUAAGAAUAAGGAUCGGCUAACUCCGUG